rnacentral:rRNA from 1 species
GGUCAAGCGAAUAAGCGCACACGGUGGAUGCCUUGGCGGUCAGAGGCGAUGAAGGACGUGGCAGCCUGCGAAAAGUAUCGGGGAGCUGGCAACAAGCUUUGAUCCGGUAAUGUCCGAAUGGGGAAACCCACCCGCUUGCGGGUAUCCUGCAGUGAAUACAUAGCUGCUGGAAGCGAACCUGGUGAACUGAAAUAUCUAAGUAACCAGAGGAAAAGAAAUCAACCGAGAUUCCGUAAGUAGCGACGAGCGAACGCGGACUAGCCCUUAAGCUGAUUUGGUUCUAGGAAAAC